AACGAACGCUGGCGGCAGGCCUAACACAUGCAAGUCGAGCGGAACCUUCGGGGUUAGCGGCGGACGGGUGAGUAACGGGUGGGAAUAUGCCCUUCUCUACGGAAUAGUCCUGGGAAACUGGGGGUAAUACCGGAUACGCCCUUUGAGGGGAAGAUUUAUCGGGGAAGGAUUAGCCCGCGUUGGAUUAGGUAGUUGGUGGGGUAAUGGCCUACCAAGGCGAGAAUCCAUAGCUGGUUUGAGAGGAUGAUCCGCCACACUGGGACUGGGACACGGCCCAGACUCUUACGGGAGGCAGCAGUGGGGAAUCCUAGACAAGGGGGGCAACCCUGAUGUAGCUAUGCCGCGUGAGUGAUGAAGGCCUUAAGGGUGUAAAGCGCUUUCAGCUGGUAAGAUAAUGACGGUACCAACAGAAGAAGCACCGGCUAACUUCGUG
rnacentral:rRNA from 1 species